GACGAACGCUGGCGGCGUGCCUAACACAUGCAAGUCGAGCGAGAGACUUCGGUCUCUAGCGGCGGACGGGUGAGUAACACGUGGGUAACCUGCCUCAUAGAGGGGGAUAGCCUUCCGAAAGGAAGAUUAAUACCGCAUAUACUCUCGAUACCACAUGGUAUUUAGAGGAAAGGAGCAACCCGCUAUGAGAUGGACCCGCGGCGCAUUAGCGAGUUGGUGAGGUAACGGCUCACCAAGGCGACGAUGCGUAGCCGACCUGAGAGGGUGAUCGGCCACAUUGGAACUGAGACACGGUCCAGACUCCUACGGGAGGCAGCAGUGGGGAAUAUUGCACAAUGGGCGAAAGCCUGAUGCAGCAACGCCGCGUGAGUGAUGACGGCCUUCGGGUUGUAAAGCUCUGUCUUUUGGGACGAUAAUGACGGUACCAAAGGAGGAAGCCACGGCUAACUAUGCGCCAGCAGCCGCCGUAACAC
rnacentral:rRNA from 1 species